AUUGAACGCUGGCGGCAUGCUUUACACAUGCAAGUCGAACGGCAGCGCGGGCUUCGGCCUGGCGGCGAGUGGCGAACGGGUGAGUAAUGCAUCGGAACGUGCCCAGUAGUGGGGGAUAGCCCGGCGAAAGCCGGAUUAAUACCGCAUACGACCUGAGGGUGAAAGCGGGGGACCGAAAGGCCUCGCGCUAUUGGAGCGGCCGAUGUCGGAUUAGCUAGUUGGUGGGGUAAAGGCUUACCAAGGCGACGAUCCGUAGCUGGUCUGAGAGGACGACCAGCAACACUGGGACUGAGACACGGCCCAGACUCCUACGGGAGGCAGCAGUGGGGAAUUUUGGACAAUGGGGGCAACCCUGAUCCAGCCAUGCCGCGUGCGGGAAGAAGGCCUUCGGGUUGUAAACCGCUUUUGUUCGGGAAGAAAUCCUCUGGGCUAAUACCCCGGGGGGAUGACGGUACCGGAAGAAUAAGCACCGGCUAACUACGUG
rnacentral:rRNA from 1 species